rnacentral:rRNA from 1 species
AUACGUAGGGUGCGAGCGUUGUCCGGAAUUACUGGGCGUAAAGAGCUCGUAGGUGGUUUGUCGCGUCGUCUGUGAAAUUCCGGGGCUUAACUCCGGGCGUGCAGGCGAUACGGGCAUAACUUGAGUACUGUAGGGGAGACUGGAAUUCCUGGUGUAGCGGUGUAAUGCGCAGAUAUCAGGAGGAACACCGGUGGCGAAGGCGGGUCUCUGGGCAGUAACUGACGCUGAGGAGCGAAAGCAUGGGUAGCGAACAGGAUUAGAUACCCUGGUAGUCCAUGCCGUAAACGGUGGGCGCUAGGUGUAGGGGUCUUCCACGACUUCUGUGCCGUAGCUAACGCAUUAAGCGCCCCGCCUGGGGAGUACGGCCGCAAGGCUAAAACUCAAAGGAAUUGACGGGG